AUUGAACGCUGGCGGCAUGCCUUACACAUGCAAGUCGAACGGUAACAGGUCUUCGGAUGCUGACGAGUGGCGAACGGGUGAGUAAUACAUCGGAACGUGCCCGAUCGUGGGGGAUAACGGAGCGAAAGCUUUGCUAAUACCGCAUACGAUCUACGGAUGAAAGCAGGGGACCGCAAGGCCUUGCGCGAACGGAGCGGCCGAUGGCAGAUUAGGUAGUUGGUGGGAUAAAAGCUUACCAAGCCGACGAUCUGUAGCUGGUCUGAGAGGACGACCAGCCACACUGGGACUGAGACACGGCCCAGACUCCUACGGGAGGCAGCAGUGGGGAAUUUUGGACAAUGGGCGAAAGCCUGAUCCAGCCAUGCCGCGUGCAGGAUGAAGGCCUUCGGGUUGUAAACUGCUUUUGUACGGAACGAAAAGCCUCUUUCUAAUAAAGAGAGGUCAUGACGGUACCGUAAGAAUAAGCACCGGCUAACUACGUGCCAGCAGCCGCGGUAAUAC
rnacentral:rRNA from 1 species